UGAAACAGGGGUUCUCGUCCACCCAAAGAAGUUAAGCAACGUAGAGCUUGGUCAGUACCUAGAUGGGUGACCGUUUUGGAAUACCAAGUGCUGCAAGC